CUUCCCCCUCCCCCCCGUAGCUCGCCCAUGCUGUGCCGGUAGAGGGUCCAGGUCCAGGUCCAGGUCCAGGUCCAGGUCCAGUCAUCAUGUGUCGCAGCCCCACAGAGAUGAGAAAUAAAAACUCUCCCAGAUCCAACCUCAAGUUUCGGUUUGACAAGUUGAGUCACUCUAAUAACAACAAGGAGGUUUAGCCAAUCACCAGCCUCCAUCCAGGAAGAGGCGGGGCUUACUGUGAAGAUGCUGAUGGACUGUUAACAGCUGCUGCACGCUCACACACACACGCACAAACACACACACACACACACACACACACGCUCACACACACACGCACAAACACACACACACACACACGCACAAACACAAACACACACACACACACGCACAAACACACACACACACACAC